UCAAAGAAACCACACUUACCGAGUUAAACUUACACACAGGUGUUCGGAGCAUGCUAGAUAGCUAAUUAGUACAAGUGGUCACCUCUUGGCUUACAUCUGUUUUCCGUAAACAAGCGCUGUAAACGUGGAGAUAUGCCCGUGUGGGAACACGUUAUCAAGGUAUACAGACAAUGAGGCGUGCAAAGGUACGUCAAUUGGUAUGUUAUGCAGAUCACAUUUACCAUUCUCAUACCUUACAUCUUCAACGAACAUCCCAUAGGCCUCUACAUUAUGGACACGGUAUGUAUAUGAAAACCAUUAUCAAAACAGUUAUUUAUUUAUUUUUCACCUCCACCACAAAAACCAAGGUAUGAAUACUGUCGUGUGCAUGUAUUGUUAAUCUGUAUUUUUGGGGGGAUUCAGACUUCACCCUCCCGACACCUCUGAUUAAUAUAACAGGAAACCUGUUCAAUCACCAUGCACUUCAAAAUCAUUCUGGCUGUGGAUACAGAGAACAUCAACACAUUAAUAUCAACACGCCAGAGGAUAAACCCAUUGGACUUGGGGCUCUGCUGGGAGUUUACCUCAUAUUUUGAUUUUUAUAUUCUGCUUUGACACUAAAACUAUAAUAAACACUGAAAACUAAAAGGUUAUGAGGAUCCAUUAAAAGGGGUUCUUCAAAGAACUUAUAGGGGUUCCCCGACAUUUUCAAUUUGAAGAACCCCUAAAGGAUACUCCAGGAAUCUUUUAUUUUUAGAGUGUAUACCUGCAACUGAAUUGUAAUAGCUAUCUACCCUGUUUCAGUCAGAGGUUGCCGUCAAGUCCCCUCACACGCCCGUCCGCAGGAUCAGGAGGGAAGACAGCCAGUAUUAGAGAACCCAUGCAUGGGAUACCAGAGAGGAUGUACAAUGUUAUCUUUUGGCUAUUUCUGCCAGCAGGAGGUGCCAUUGUAUAAUUAUACAGUAAAGUACAGUUUGAUCAAAGAUUUGUAUAACUAAAUUAAGAUUGAACACAGCCUGUCGUUUCCAAUGGGAACAAAUAAGUCAUUGUGGGCAGAACAAGCAAGGAGGUGGGCAGAGCCAAGCACGAGCUAGCAAGAUACUAUUGGCCCGUUCUGAGAUGCAUCUGCAUAUUUCCGUUAGAGACCGCCUACUGUGUGACGUGCGCAAUAACUCAAUUUGCCUUUGCACUCCUUCUAAACAACACAAUUUUAAAAAACUUUGCCAAAGGGUAAAAAUCCAUCACCGUCCAUCUUCAACCACUGCCAGCCGCUAUCAUCCUAACCAACUUGCCCUCUAAAUACACCGCUGCUGUUUUCAACCAAGAUCUCAGCGAUCACUGCCUCAUUGCCUGCAUCCGUAAUGGGUCAGAGGUCAAACGACCUCCACUCAUCACUAUCAAACGCUCCCUGAAACACUUCAGUGAGCAGGCCUUUCUAAUCGACCUGGCCCGGGUAUCCUGGAAGGAUAUCCUCCUCAUCAGGAUGCCUGUUUUUUUUUUAAAAUGCCUUCCUCACCAUCUCAAAUAAGCAUGCCCCGUUCAAGAAAUGUAGAACCAGGAACAGAUAUAGCCAUUGGUUCUCUCCACACCUGACUGCCCUUAACCAACACAAAAACAUCCUGUGUGGUUCUGCAUUAGCAUCGAACAGUCCCAGUGAAAUGCAACUAUUUAGGGAAGUUAGAAACCAAUAUACACAGGCAGUGUCUCAGCCUCCAGUAUUUAUGCUGCAGUAGUUUAUGUGUCGGGGGGCUGGGGUCAGUUUGUUAUAUCUGGAGUACUUCUCCUGUCCUAUUCGGUGUCCUGUGUGAAUCUAAGUGUGCGUUCUCUAAUUCUCUCCUUCUCUCUUUCUUUCUCUCUCUCGGAGGACCUGAGCCCUAGGACCAUGCCCCAGGACUACCUGACAUGAUGACUCCUUGCUGUCCCCAGUCCACCUGGCCAUGCUGCUGUUCCAGUUUCAACUGACCUGAGCCCUAGGACCAUGCCCCAGGACUACCUGACAUGAUGACUCCUUGCUGUCCCCAGUCCACCUGGCCAUGCUGCUGCUCCAGUUUCAACUUCCACCUGACUGUGCUGCUGCUCCAGUUUCAACUGUUCUGCCUUAUUAUUAUUCGACCAUGCUGGUCAUUUAUGAACAUUUGAACAUCUUGGCCAUGUUCUGUUAUAAUCUCCACCCGGCACAGCCAGAAGAGGACUGGCCACCCCACAUAGCCUGGUUCCUCUCUAGGUUUCUUCCUAGGUUUUGGCCUUUCUAGGGAGUUUUUCCUAGCCACCGUGCUUCUACACCUGCAUUGCUUGCUGUUUGGGGUUUUAGGCUGGGUUUCUGUACAGCACUUUGAGAUAUCAGCUGAUGUACGAAGGGCUAUAUAAAUAAAUUUGAUUUGAUUUGAUUUGAGUUAGAAAAGCCCAGGCUAGCUUUUUCAAGCAGAAAUUUGCUUCCUGCGACACAAACUCAAAAAAAGUUCUGGGACAUUGUAAAGUCCAUGGAGAAUAAGAGCACCAACUCCCAGCUGCCCACUGCACUGAGGAUAGGAAACUGUCACCACCGAUAAAUCCACUGUAAUUGAGAAUUUCAAUGUAAAAAAUUAUACCGUCUGGCCAUGCUUUCCAACUGGCCACACCUAACCCGGUCAACAGCAACUCACCCAAGCCUUCCCUAUUUCUCCUUCUCCCAAAUCCAGUCUGCUGAUGUUCUGAAAGAGUUGCAAAAUCUGGACCCCCACAAAUCAGCCGGGCUAGACAAUCUGGACCCGCUCUUUCUAAAAUUAUCUGCCGAAAAUGUUGCAACCCCUAUUACUAGCCUGUUCAACCUCUUUCGUGGUUGAACAAUCAAAAGUUAAAUCUAGAAUUGGCUUCCUAUUUUGCAACAAAGCAUCCUUCACUCAUGCUGCCAAACAUACCCUUGUAAAACUGACCAUUUACCAAUCCUCGACUUUGGCGAUGUCAUUUACAAAAUAGCCUCCAACACCCUACUCAACAAAUUGGAUGCAGUCUAUCACAGUGCCAUCCAUUUUGUCACCAAAGCCCCAUAUACUACCCACCACUGCGACCUGUACACUCUCGUUGGCUGGCCCUUGCUUCAUACUCGUCGCCAAACCCACUGGCUCCAGGUCAUCUACAAGACCCUGCUAGGUAAAGUCCCGCCUUAUCUCUGCUCGCUGGACACCAUAGCUGCAUCCAUGCGUUCCAGCAGGUAUAUCUCACUUGUCAUCCCCAAAGCCAAUUCCUCCUUUGGCCGCCUCUUCUUCCAGUUCUCUGCUGCCAAUGACUGGAACGAACUACAAAAAUCUCUGAAACUGGAAACACUUAUCUGCCUCACUAGCUUUAAGCACCAGCUGUCAGAGCAGCUCACAGAUCACUGCACCUGUACAUAGCCCAUCUAUAAAUAGCCCAAACAACUACCUCUUCCCCUACUGUAUUUAUUUAUUUAUUUAGCUCCUUUGCACCCCAGUAUUUCUACUUUGCACACUCAUCUACUGUCAAAUCUACCAUUCCAGUGUUUUAAUUGCUAUAUUGUAAUUACUUCGCCACUAUGGCCUAUUUAUUGCCUUUACCUCCCUUAUCUCACCUCAUUUGCUCACAUUGUAUAUAGACUUAUUUUUCUACUGUAUUAUUGACUAUGUUUGUUUUACUCCAUGUGUAACUCUGUGUUGUUAUAUGUGUCGAACUGCUUUGCUUUAUCUUGGCCAGGUCGCAGUUGUAAAUGAGAACUUGUUUUCAACUUGCCUACCUGGUUAAAUAAAGGUGAAAUAAAAAAUAAAUGCAAAACUG